rnacentral:rRNA from 1 species
CAAUAGCGUAUAUUAAAGUUGUUGCGGUUAAAAAGCUCGUAGUUGGAUUUCUGCCGAGGACGACCGGUCCGCCCUCCGGGUGAGUAUCUGGUUUGGCCUGGGCAUCUUCUUGGAGAACGUAGCUGCACUUGACUGUGUGGUGCGGUGUCCAGGACUUUUACUUUGAGGAAAUUAGAGUGUUUCAAGCAGGCACACGCCUUGAAUACAUUAGCAUGGAAUAAUAAGAUAGGACCUCGGUUCUAUUUUGUUGGUUUCUAGAGCUGAGGUAAUGAUUAAUAGGGAUAGUUGGGGGCAUUCGUAUUUAACUGUCAGAGGUGAAAUUCUUGGAUUUGUUAAAGACGGACUACCGCGAAAGCAUUUGCCAAGGAUGUUUUCAUUG